CCGCACUGGUCGGGGAGUUAGCGGUGCCCUGUAUCUGCAAUCCGCUACAGCAGAGACGAACCCCGCCCCCGGCUUUGCGAUGUGUUGUCUGACCCUUGUAAGCAGCGAUGACGAGACGGUCUUGCGCAACGGAAACCUGUGAACCAUGUCAGGCGGGGAACCGAGCAGCAUUAAGCAGGAGCUUUCGUGUGCCGCGAGGGCGCCGUUUCCGAGCCGGCUGCAGGGGUAACGGGCAUAUCGCAAUUGUCAAAGGCGGGUGUGCGG
rnacentral:SRP_RNA from 1 species